rnacentral:rRNA from 1 species
AUGGAUAAAUUUGACUACAUUUCUAUGGUUUUCGUGAAGCAUUCUCAUUUCUCCAUGGAUAAAUUUGACUACAUUUCUUUGGUUUUCGUGCAUGGUUCGAUGACUGGUCUGACUAGUCUAGACUACAUUGACCUGCUCCUGCUGCACACCAGCAUGGUAGGACGUAAAAUCUGCAUGUGCAGGCGCUUGUCUUGGCACCGCAUUCAUCAGUUCGUUCCAUGGCUUUCAGAACCAUAUGGUUGGCGGGUGCAUGAUCAUGGCUUCACGACUGUUCAGCAUGUAGGAUGUGCUCGCCACCAGAGACUUCGCUCAAACCAGCAGGAGCGGUGA